rnacentral:tRNA from 2 species
GGAGGGGUGGCCGAGUGGUUGAAGGCGCUCGCCUGGAAAGCGGGUAUACCGGAAACGGUAUCGUGAGUUCGAAUCUCAUCCCCUCCGCCA